rnacentral:rRNA from 1 species
GAUGAACGCUAGCUACAGGCUUAACACAUGCAAGUCGAGGGGCAGCAUGAACUUAGCUUGCUAAGUUUGAUGGCGACCGGCGCACGGGUGAGUAACACGUAUCCAACCUGCCGAUGACUCGGGGAUAGCCUUUCGAAAGAAAGAUUAAUACCCGAUGGCAUAAUUCUUCCGCAUGGUAGAACUAUUAAAGAAUUUCGGUCAUUGAUGGGGAUGCGUUCCAUUAGGUUGUUGGCGGGGUAACGGCCCACCAAGCCUUCGAUGGAUAGGGGUUCUGAGAGGAAGGUCCCCCACAUUGGAACUGAGACACGGUCCAAACUCCUACGGGGGGCAGCAGUGAGGAAUAUUGGUCAAUGGACGAGAGUCUGAACCAGCCAAGUAGCGUGAAGGAUGACUGCCCUAUGGGUUGUAAACUUCUUUUAUACGGGAAUAAAGUGAGGCACGUGUGCCUUUUUGUAUGUACCGUAUGAAUAAGGAUCGGCUAACUCCGUG